rnacentral:rRNA from 1 species
GACAGAGGGUGCAAACGUUUGUUCGGAAUUACUGGGCGUAAAGCGCGUGUAGGCGGCUUUGCAAGUCGGGUGUGAAAUCCCACGGCUCAACCGUGGAAGUGCACUCGAAACUGCAAGGCUAGAGUCCUGGAGAGGAAGGUGGAAUGCUUGGUGUAGAGGUGAAAUUCGUAGAUAUCAAGCGGAACACCGGUGGCGAAGGCGGCCUCUGGACAGUGACUGACGGCUGAGACGCGAAAAGCGUGGGGAGCAAACAGGG